AGUGAACGCUGGCGGUAGGACUAACACAUGCAAGUCGAACGGCAGCACAGGAGAGCUUGCUCUCUGGGUGGCGAGUGGCGGCCGGGUGAGGAAUACAUCGGAAUCUACUCUGUCGUGGGGGAUAACGUAGGGAAACUUACGCUAAUACCGCAUACGACCUACGGGUGUAAGCAGGGGGCCUUCGGGCCUUUCGCGAUUGAAUGACCCGAUGUCGGAGUAGCUAGUUGGCGGGGUAAAGGCCCAGCAAGGCGACUAUCCGUAGCUGGUCUGCGAGAAUGAUCAUCCACACUGGAACUGAGACACGGUCCAGACUCCUACGGGAGGUAGCAGUGGGGAAUAUUGGACAAUGGGCGCAAGCCUGAUCCAGCCAUACCGCGUGGGUGAAGAAGGCCUUCGGGUUGUAAAGCCCUUUUGUUGGGAAAGAAAGCCAGCUGGCUAAUACCCGGUUGGGAUGACGGUACCCAAAGAAUAAGCACCGGCUAACUUCGUGCCAGCAGCCGCCGUAA
rnacentral:rRNA from 1 species